rnacentral:tRNA from 1 species
GUGUCGGUGGCUCAAGGGUAAAGUACUUGACUUGUAAUCUGGAGGGGUGGGUUUGAAUCCCGCCAUGUACC